GGACUGCUGAGCCUUUCUCAGAAACGCCCUUGAGAGGGAAAGCGAAACCUUUUCCUUAAAAUGGCAGCUGUCACUUAAGAUGGCCAUCCAGAUGCUAAGCAGGGUCCUUGUACUCUUGGUCUGGUAAUUCAAAAUCUGAGUCUUUUUGUUGGUAUCUGUUGUCAUUUCCCUUAAGAAAUCAUCAUAUUUUCUUUGUUAUUUGUAUACCAAGUUUGUGAGUUCUACGCUGAACAUUUUGAAGUUCUGUCGCAUCCUCUGGGUCCUGCUACAGUUCUUGGGACAUGUCAGUGUUCUUCUUGGGGCUUGCACACGUGUCCAGGCUCUUGGCUUUAGCCUACCUCUCUACCCGCUGUCUGGGGCCAAGAGUGCUCUCAAGUUGGGUCUUGAAACCCUUCUGUGCUGCCGCGUCCCCUUCUGUGUGAAGGGGCAGCACGGAGGUCAGCCUGGAGCUGAGGCAAUUCACACUGAAACACAAGGUCCCUCCUCUGUCUCUCUUCUUCCUGAAUCAUCUGUCACAUUCCCCAGUUUCCAGGGGCCUCUUCCCAGAACUCUGGCUGUGAAGGGGAACUUCCCUAGGAACCUGCACCACUCAUACUGCCUCGCAGGCCAAGGGUCCCCGCCCUGUCUGGACCGCAAGCUGCCCUUUCCUGAUGACUGUGGCCAGAGAGAUGCUUUUGCCUUCAAGAGCAGCAUGGGUGUGCGACUUCCAGUCCACCCUCGCACGCCUCUUAUGAUUGGGUCCUCCUUGAGAAGGAGCCGAGAGAGUCCAGACCAAACUGGCAGCCAAGCCUGGGAAUCACCACUUGCUUGGCUUGCAGGGUCUCUUUAUCCCUGGAGCUUUUGCUGUGUGUCCAUGUGUAGAGCCCACAGGGCCACGUGUCAUGCUGGGAGGCAGGAGCAGAUGGGAAAGCCACCCCAUCAGGUCUUUUGUUACUCUGGGUCUCAUUUGCUAUCGUGGUUAUUACUUUUCAUGUUUUCUGGAGUUUUUAGUGUUUCUCGGUAAGUUUGGUGGGCUGCAGCGAGCUCUCUCCAUCUGGUCUGCCACUGGGGCGCCUUCACUUUUGGAAGACAUGUUGCUGGGUAUAGAAGUUUACUAUUUCCUGUCACUUCCUUAUCUUCUGGUUUGAAUAUCUGGCAGUGGGUGUGUGAUUCUUCUUAUUCCAUUCAUCUCUAUCUACAGGCAAGAUGUUUUCUUUAUCCUUGGUUUCAGAGUUGAAUAUGGUAUGACUGUUAGGUCGGUGGUGGUGACUUGGUGGCGAUUAGUGGCAACUUAGAAGAAAGCAGCCCGCGCCAGGAAAAGAACAGCAAUCAGAUGCCGGCGGAAAUGCCUGUCAAUCAGCCAGAUCUCCUGACUAACGCCUGUCAAUCAACAGGACCCCCUGGCCAAUCCUGGAGUUCAGCCAACUCCCCUGACCAACUCCAAGGGGGCAAGGGACCCUAGGAACACCUUUUCCUGUCCCAAGCCCUUCCCUUCCUGCUGUGAGCCCCAUAAAAGUCCAGUCCGGUUGAGCUUCCACAAGGUUUCUCCUCAGACCCUUCCCCUGUCCCCUCUGUGGGUCUGAUCAAGUUCCGCCCGGGAGUGAUAUCUCAAUAAAGCCUGUUCAGUGGUCCUUUUAAAUCUGCCUCCUUUGGCCAUUGCCUGCCCCGACUGAUCUGACAUCUUGGUGCCGACACCCAGGAAGGGAUCUUCGGGCUUCUCCCUCAGGGGAUUGAAGCCCAUCCCUUCCCCCUUGAAACCAACUGGGAAAUUUCUAAGCAACUCUUUCUCUCUCCCUUCAUCCAGCUGACAGGAGUGGGGUAAGUUCCUCCUUUCCCCUGACCUUCCAGAUCCUUUCUGUCUGUCCGCGGGGUCUAUCCAUAAGUGCCAUAGGCCCUGCCCAUUCUGUUCAGGGCUCUGGGGACUGUGGAGACAUCCUAGUCCUCCUGAGAGCCCCCCGCCAACCAGGUUGGCCAACUGCUGGGGCCCCUGGAGGCUGAAGGGACGUCUCAACCUCCGCCCUGGCCCAUAUCUCUCCGUAGGUGAGUGCAGACAGAAUUUGGGAUGCCUUUUUUCUGCUCCCACUCACCCCCGAAGGUGCCAGAAGGUCAUGGGAAAUGCAGAGUCCUCUCCUUAGACCCCAAAGUCCUUGGGUGUCUAUAUUCAAAUUUUGCCAAGUUAGGGCUCAUUUAAGAACCGCCUGGUAUUUUACUGCACUGAGACAAUUGGUCAUAAUGGCUCCCAGAAAGAACUGUUGAUUUUAAACCCUCACUGAAUUGGACAAUUUCUGUCGCCAGACAGGGAAGUGGGAAACCACGUUCAGGAUUUUUGAGAUUUGCUCCUGUCCUGCCCUCUGCUCUCUGCUCCCGACCUGCCCUCUGCCUCCUUCCCUCUGCUCUUAAUGUCUGUUCUCCCUCCUAGUGCUGAGAGCCAUAGCCAAGUAGGAAUGACGCAUGGCAAUUUCCUUGUCAGCCUACACAAUGUUGCUUAGAGGGAGGACUCUCCAUUGUGAAAAUGGGCUUGCCUUGGACCCAGGUCAUUUGCAGUGACAUUGCAUGAAUAUUUGAGAGUUUUGUUUUGAAAGGUGACCUUGCUCAGGGAUUAGGGCGGAUCCGGGUUUAGGGUGGAUCCUGCUGGGAAUAGGGCUCCUGCUGGGAAUAGGGCGUAUCCUGCUGCCUCAGGCGCUGGCUCCUUGAGUUCUCACGGGAUUCAGAGGGUAUUUGGGAUGCAGAGCCCGGUGGAGGUGUGGAUUUUCCCCGGAAUGGAACGUGCAUGUAGAGUGCAGGUGAGAGUUCGGGAAUAAAGAAUUGCUGUUUGAAUCUACAAGGCUGUGAGUGGCUCGUGAUUUUGUGCCCAGCCAGACUGCGGCAUCCUAGCGGUACCGUGUCCCCUCCUCCUCCCUGCUGCCACUUCUGCAGCUGCUGCUCGCUGCUCGCUGCUUGCGGCCCAGUCUGCGCGCUUCCAGUCUGCGCGCUUCCAGUCUGCCUGGCUACCAGACACGUGCGCCCUUCCUCCCUCCCUUGCUGGCUCCCUCUGCCACCCUGGCAGGCAGAACGGGUCCCACCUGGCUGCAGGGGGUGGGAUCUCUGGAUCCCUCCGAGCCUCCUCCCCCACUCUGCUCACCUCUUCUACUGAUAAGCCCUUCCCCCUCCCCCACUCUCUUCUUCCUCUCCUGCUACCUUGAUUUCUCCGCUCACCUCUUCCACUGAUACCACCCUUCCCCCUCCCCCUCCACCCCUCUCCUCUUCCUCCUCUCCUACAGCCAUGAUCACCUCCACCCAUUCACCCCUCCCUUCUCCUGAUCCCUCUUAUCAGAUAACCCACACUUUCUUUGUCCUCUCAGAGAAGUUCAAUUCAAGAUCUUUCCCAGAUUGAAAAACCUCUUGGGUCCUUCUCUGCUGACUCUUCUGCUUAUAUUAAGGAAUCCCGACAUCUCUCCCAGACCUAUGAUCUUACCUGGCACGACGUCUUUGUUGUUCUGUCCUCUACUCUGACCCCAGAUGAGCGAGCCCGCAUUCAGCAGGCUGCUGGAGAUCAUGCUGACCAAAUUCGUUUAACAGAUAUGACUCUCCCCACAGGUGAAGCAGCUGUUCCCCUAACCGAACCUAACUGGGACUAUCAAGAUGGCCAACAAGGUCGCCGUCACUGUGCUCGCGUGGUCCAAUAUCUUAUAGCAGGCAUGCAAGCAGUUCCUAAUAAGGUAGUUAACUUCGAUAAACUGAGGGAAAUUACCCAGAAUCCUGAUGAAAAUCCAGCCUUAUUUCUCAACCGCCUUACAGAGGCUCUCAUCAAAUAUACUAAGCUGGGUCCUGAGACUCCCACCAGGGCUACAGUGUUAGCAACCCAUUUCUUUACUCAAUCAACCCAUGAUAUUAGAAAAAAGCUCAAACGAGCUGAGGAGGGCCCUCAGACCCCCAUCCAAGACCUGGUGAAAAUGGCCUUAAAAGUUUAUAAUGCCCGAGAGGAGUCGGCUGAGUUAGUCAGGCAGGCUCAAUUACAGAAAAAGGUAACACUCCACACCCAAGCCUUGGCAGCGGCCCUGAGGCCUACGGCUCAAACGAGGGCUUUUUGGAGGAUUCAGCAUUCCUCUCCAUCAGGGGCUUGCUUCAAAUGUGGAUGUGAAGGUCACUGGGCUUGCCAAUGCCCAAACUUAUGGCCUCCUUCCAGGCCAUGCCCCACCUGUAACCAGACAGGACAUUGGAAGAG
rnacentral:lncRNA from 1 species